AAAUUGAAGAGUUUGAUCAUGGCUCAGAUUGAACGCUGGCGGCAGGCCUAACACAUGCAAGUCGAACGGUAACAGGAAUCAGCUUGCUGAUUCGCUGACGAGUGGCGGACGGGUGAGUAAUGUCUGGGAAACUGCCUGAUGGAGGGGGAUAACUACUGGAAACGGUAGCUAAUACCGCAUAACGUCGCAAGACCAAAGAGGGGGACCUUCGGGCCUCUUGCCAUCGGAUGUGCCCAGAUGGGAUUAGCUAGUAGGUGGGGUAACGGCUCACCUAGGCGACGAUCCCUAGCUGGUCUGAGAGGAUGACCAGCCACACUGGAACUGAGA
rnacentral:rRNA from 1 species